rnacentral:misc_RNA from 1 species
ACCUUUCAAAUCAGGGUGCGGCGCGGCCCCCGAGGAGCGGAAACAGUCCUUGGGAGGUAUGCGGGGGCUUCGAGCCCCCCAUUUACGCACGCACGACUGCCAUCCUUACUUUACGAGCACCUUCUGUUCUCCCUCGGCGGGGCAACCUGCCGUUGGAACCGAAUAAACUCUUUUUGCAUCUAGCAUUACCUGUUCCGAAACAAACAAUCGUUA